rnacentral:rRNA from 1 species
AGUGAACGCUGGCGGUAGGCCUAACACAUGCGAGUCGAACGGCAGCACAGUAAGAGCUUGCUCUUACGGGUGGCGAGUGGCGGACGGGUGAGGAAUACAUCGGAAUCUACUUUUUCGUGGGGGAUAACGUAGGGAAACUUACGCUAAUACCGCAUACGACCUACGGGUGAAAGCAGGGGAUCUUCGGACCUUGCGCGAUUGAAUGAGCCGAUGUCGGAUUAGCUAGGUGGCGGGGUAAAGGCCCACCAAGGCGACGAUGCGUAGCUGGUCUGAGAGGAUGAUCAGCCACACUGGAACUGAGACACGGUCCAGACUCCUACGGGAGGCAGCAGUGGGGAAUAUUGGACAAUGGGCGCAAGCCUGAUCCAGCCAUACCGCGUGAGUGAAGAAGGCCUUCGGGUUGUAAAGCCCUUUUGUUGGGAAAGAAAAGCAGCAGGUUAAUACCCCGCUGUUCUGACGGUACCCAAAGAAUAAGCACCGGCUAACUUCGUG